CUUACUGCCAGCCUUAUUAAUGUUAUUAAUAAUUUCAAUACCUUAUUUACUAACCAUAUGACACAAUAGCUUGUUGCGAGUAACAGUCAUCGGGGAGAAUUCAAUCAAUGGCUAGAAAACAAGGAGUCACUUUUGGCUAGUAGACUUAGCAGGUAGCGAGCGUGUGGGAAAAAUCGAAACUGAGGGAGAAAGAUUAAAGGAAUCUUAAUUCAUAAACAAGUCUCUUUCGGCAGUAGGUGAUGUUAUUUCUGCUCUUGCUUCCAAAGCAGCCCACAUUGCUUACAGUAGAGACACUAUAUUCACUGGAAUGUUUUGCCACACGUAUUCGUGGAAUUGAGAGUGGCCCAGCUCGCAAACAAGUAGACCUCAGUGAGCUGUUUAAGUACACACAAAUGGCAGAAAAGGCCAAACACGACGAGAAGGAAACAAAGAAGAUACAUGAUAGCCUGCAAAAUUUGCAACUCAGACUUGCUGAGAGAGAAUACCAUUGUAAAAACUUUCAAGAAAAGGUACGGUACCUGGAGAAUCAAGUAGCAGAAGAAAAAAAACUAGACUAAAGCAAGAAAAACUAGACCACCACCUGUACAAUCAACAACACAGAAAGUUCUACGAUGGAUCAGAAACAUAGUUCAGGAGUUUGGAAUUCCAAACAUCACUUUCACCACUACUAAAGUUGUAGAUCUGUUCCCUCUUCAGUAGUGUUUUCUGCCUAGUGUAGGUUAAAUGCUCCCUAACCUUAGUUGCAUCGGCAAAAUUUCCCAUAUCCUCAGGUCAACGUAUCAUCAUUGAAAACCAAUGCAUCUUCAGUUCAGCUAGUUGGGAUGGGUAUUUACUUGCACUAUCCUUGGUUAUCACAUCAAUAGUUAAGUAAGUUUGGUUAUUUGUGUUUAUAGAAUUCAGUAUGUUUUUUCUCUUGUUUUUCUUGUGUUUUAUGUUUCUAUUCCAGGCUUCUCAUAUUGCUUGCCUACUUAUUGUUGCUACUGUGGAUGGUUUAUCCUGCACUAUAUCAAAAUACACAAUGUACUGCUCGUCUUUCUAAACGGAAGCUAAAGCUGCGAUAUAGUAUCAUGGCCCUAAUCUAUGAGUAGGUAUGCUAAAGAUUUAUUGGUUGUACAUAAUAAUGAAAUUCACAUGUUGUCGGUCAUCAUAAAGAUUUUUGGUCUGCAGAGGAUUAUACCUUCAUGUAGUCAAAAGGUAAUGUUUUUUUUUUUUUUAGACCUGGGUAGUUUUUCUUGAGUAAUUAUCAAUUACUAAUGCAACUUGCAUUUCAAUACUUGCAAAUCAGAAAGAUAUUUGAACCACUUACAUCUUUCAUGACAAAGAACUUCAAAUUUAUUUCCUUUAAUUAGGAGGACCAUAUUUAUAUAUAUGAUAUCUAUCUUUCAGUUUCGCUUUGUUGUUAUGGGAAAUGUUUUCUGCACAGAAUUAAGGAUCCAUAGGGAAUUCGAUUUAAAAGGUUCAUCGCUUGGACAUUCUUCUGACACAAUAGAAAUUGAUGAGAAUACCACUCCGAAAGAUUUGGAUUUGAACCACUGCUUUUACUUGGGACCGUCUUUGGCAGGAGUCUUUAUUAAAAUGGAACAAAAACAAUGGGCAGCUAGUACUUUCAAAGAAGGUCAUUGUUCUCUACAAUGGUGUGGAUGGAAUAUAUUUUCCAAGUCUUGAGUUGAUGUGCUAUGUGUAGAUGGGUUGAAGAUUGGGACUACAACAAAAUUAUAAUCUGUGUCAGGCCACAUUGGGUCACUCAUUCUUGGAAUUUAAAAAGCAUUAAAUGACAAAUCAUCUACCUCAAUUUUGAAGCCCUAAAUGUGUAGCUGAUUUUGGUUUUCAUUCAGGGCUGAAAAGUUUUCUGGUCUAAAGAGGAAGUUAGUUGAUGAAGUAGGAAAAUGCAAAGGUCUACAGUCAGUGCUAUACAUAUUAAUUGUGUCAGAUUAGAGAAGCUACUCUUUUUGCCUUGUCCUCUCUUUCAGAACAACUGCUUGAGACACAGGAGUCAGGGUUUCGGACAAGUAACUUGAAGAACAUGAUUGAACAGAUUGUUGCCGAGGACUUUUUAAUAGGUCAUUUCUCAAAUGCUUCGUUAAGCUUCUGUUAUGCUUCAUUUGUGACAGAUUCUCUUGAAUACCCCUUUCUAUAUGCUUGUAUCUUUACUUCAGCUGCCAAAUUCUCCUCUGUGAUAAGCAAUGAAGUACUAGAGCACUCUCUUGAUGCUGCACUAAAGGCAAUUACAAUGAAUGUGCCUCCACCUGUAAAAGUAGGUGCCUGCAGGGCACUUGCUCAACUUCUACCUAAAGCAAAGAAAGAAAUUGUCCAACCACAGUUAUUCGGUUUAUUUUCAUCCCUCACGGAUCUUCUUAAUCAUGCAUCAGAUGAAACCUUGCAUAUGGUACUUGAAAUGUUGCAAGAAGCAGUAAAGGCAGGUUAGGAAUAUCUUUCUCUGGUGUGUGUGUGUUUCUGGUCUAGUCAAACUUCCACACAUAUAGAUAAAUUGGCUGAUAACAUAUAUGUUAAUGUUAAAUAUCUCUAUGGAAAUCGCUAAUUUACUCUUCCUAUCCCCACACAAUUGACUUCUUUUUUUUUCUUUCUUUUUUGUAAUACAAAUAACUGUUUGGUUCAAAUGCUCGCUGAGAAAUUUGGCCUUUUCAUUCAAUAACCAAGGUAAGGUAUAUUAGGAGUUAUAACUUUUCAUAUCGUUGCAGUAAAUAUUUCAUUUUCAUUCUCAAAAUAAAUCUAUUGCUACAUCAGUAUAGGAUGAUGUUUUAAUGUCUGUAUAUUUGCUUAUGAGCAAACUGGAACCGGUAAAACAUUUACCAUGGAGGGAACGCCAGAAGAGAGGGGAGUUAAUUACCGAACACUUGAAGAAUUGUUAAGAUAUCUGAAGAGAGAAAGGGUGUAAUGAAGUAUGACUUACAUGUUGGUGUAAUGAAGUAUGACUUACAUGUUAGUAUGUUGGAGGUUUACAAUGACCAGAUAAGAGAUCUUCUAGUGGAAAACUCUACCCAGCCUACUAAGAAGUCUACAAAUUCAUGAAGGAGCAUAAGAAUCAUAAGGUUCGUAGUGAGGGAAUUUUGUGGAUGGUUUCUGCUGUUGAGGAUUUAUGUGUAUCACAUUUAAAUCGUAAGGUCUGUUAUCAAUUUUUUUUGGUAAUCAAGUUAUGUUGUCUGUGUGUGUUUUUUUUUUUUUUUUUAUAAACUAUGUUGUCUAUAGGUGAUUCCAUGUAUUAAAUUUAAAUUUAAAUACUACUAUUAUAGAUUUUUUAUAUGCAAAUUUUUCUAAAUUUUAAU